rnacentral:rRNA from 1 species
CCUACGGGAGGCAGCAGUGAGGAAUCUUGCGCAAUGGGGGAAACCCUGACGCAGCGACGCCGUGUGAGUGAAGAAGGCCUUCGGGUCGUAAAGCUCUGUCAAGUGGGAAUAAUGUCCCGCGGUAAAUACCCGUUAGAUUUGAAGGUACCACUAAAGGAAGCACCGGCUAACUCCGUGCCAGCAGCCGCGGUAAUACGGAGGGUGCAAGCGUUAUUCGGAUUUAUUGGGCGUAAAGAGCGUGUAGGCGGCUGGGAUAGUCAGAUGUGAAAGCCUUCUGCUCAACAGAAGAAGUACGUCUGAAACUGCCCAACUUGAGUACGAGAGAGGAAAGUGGAAUUCCCAGUGUAGAGGUGAAAUUCGUAGAUAUUGGGAGGAACACCUGUGGCGAAGGCGACUUUCUGGAUCGAUACUGACGCUGAGACGCGAAAGUGUGGGGAGCAAACAGGAUUAGAUACCCUGGUAGUCCACGCUGUAAACGAUGGGAACUAGGUGUAGCGGGUAUUGAUCCCUGCUGUGCCGAAGCUAACGCAUUAAGUUCCCCGCCUGGGGAGUACGGUCGCAAGGCUAAAACUCAAAUGAAUUGACGGA